ACAACACCAAGGUUCACUUUUCUUCUUUUCUCUCUCUGGCUUCUUCUUCUCCUCUUCUUCUUCCCCUUCCCCCUUCCCCCUUCCCCUCCCCUUGAUCUACAAAGUUCUUCCCCAAGAACUGAAUCUCCAAUGGAGAUCUUGAAUGAUGCUUUUUUGUCGGAUCUGGAAAAGUUCAGAUCUAUCUCCAAGAUCCAACAUUAAAGAUACUCUUGAGAAAACAAGAGUGAACAGUUUGGAGUCUGCUUCCAACCACAACCUGCAGGUCCAGAUUUCUUCUGCGGCUUUCUCAAUUGCAAUUAUAGCUAAACAUGAAAGUAAUUAUUUGAAAAAGUUACAAAAUUACAUACUUUAUUUCCCCCUUUCUUUACCACGUGGAUGCUCCACUCAUGUCAUUAACUUUUUGGAUAAAAGCUCAUCUGUAGUACCUCUGGAGCAAAAUUACUCAGUUAAUGCCAUCAGUGUUCAUAUCUUAAUUCAUACUUUAAGCAAUAAACUGCACAUCAAGCCACAGUGUUUCUUA